UGUUGUCAGAAACCCUCUCUUCAUGAGGAAUCUGUAGUCAGAAACCUCUCUUCAUGACUGUUCAUCCCUCCUUUAUCCUCCUUCUUCCCUGCCUAUGUGACAUCCCUGGGUGCUUGGACAAAGGAUUUCCCAAUCCCUGGUCAGGACUUGCUUGGACUUGUUCAUCUGUGUCCCUCAGCAAGCUUUGAGACAGUGAUGCAAAAGAAUAAUCUUUUACAAGGGCGAAUUACUGACUUCAGACCUUAGCGAAAUGUAAUUUGCUGCAGAGAGGAUGUAGAAGAUGAGACAAUCUUGGCUUUAAAAUAUAACAGCUUUGUAUAUAUUUUCUAAACCACCUGGAGGAUUCCAUCGCAGUCAUGCACUAGAGACUAAUGCAGACAAACACUGUAGAAUGUCUUAAAUUCAUUACAUUAAAAAAUGACCAUUUUAAUCUAACCCUGAAGAUCUCACCUCAAGUUGUGGAUGUGGAUAUUGAAUUUGUAAGGGAAGAAAAACAUUACAAAAACAGUAAAUAAUAUUCCUUUUAUAAUUUAAGACUUGGUUUACUGAAGAUUUAACACAGCAUCUGUAAUGUAUUUUCAUUUUACUAUACAAGAACUGCAACAAAAUUUUCAAUAAAUCCCAAAGUUUUUAUGGGCAUACAUUAUUUUUACAAAACUGUACUUUUAAUAUAGGAUAUCUUUUUUUCUCUACUCUCUCUCUCUUUUUCUUUUCCUGAGGACCAUGUACAGUUACACAUCUUAAGUACUUUUGCAGUGCUUAAAAAUGAGACUGCGUAUUCAGAUAAUAAUUACCACUUGAAUACUUUAAAGGCUAUUAAUUAGAAGCAGUUCUGUGCAGCAAAGUUAGACUUUAUUGACUUGUGUCCAGUGUACAACACUGGGUAAAUAUUUCUGUGCAUAAAGUUAACAAAGACAGCUGUCUCAGUCUGAAAGAAAUACAUUACUCUUCUGUUAUCAUAGGAAAAACAUCCCUCCAUACUCUGCUUAAAAGUUUAAGAUUUCACAUUUUUUUUGAAAGAUCUGUAUGGGAGAUGGAGAGGUCAGCUCGGCCUGGUCGAAUGUCGACUUGCUGAUAAUGAGGCUCUGAAAAGGAGACAAAAGGUCUGAAUAAACAGAGGUGUUUUGUACCUAGGCAUAAGAUAAAUUCUCUGCUGAUUAUGAAGACUUGUUAUGGAAUUUGCUUGCUUUCUAGCCAGUGGAUUGUUAGUGGAAAUGUACUGAAUAGCGUGUUAGAAUAUAAAAGGCUUACUUUAGAAUGUAGACACAGAGAGACAUACAUCAUGAUCAUGGUCAUUAUGACAAUAAAGAAAUCUUCCUG
ensembl:lncRNA